UCUACUACUUCACCAUUGGAGUCCGCUGAGCUGAUGCUGUCAUCAUGACUAGUACAAGGAGAAAUAGGCAAAGAGCUGGCCAUGGUUAAAUCAUUGACACGGAUGGAAGACAGGCGGAGACGCGCAGUACAGAUGGUUAAAUCAUUGACAUGGUGUUUUAGGGAAUCCAAGGGAGAAAUGCCUGCAGGAGAGGGUGGUUGGCUAUUAAUUGUAGAUAGCUGUCCCUUUGAUUCAGGUUCUUCAUUCUCAGUCAUUUUCACCUAGCUAAGAGCUAUGGAGCAUGUUGAGAUUGAAGAAGUGAAGAAAACCCAGCACUCUUCGGCAAUAUAGGACCAAAUUUUACAUGAUCAGGAAUGGAGCGGUUAACUUCAUGCGAAGGAGUCAUCGGUUGCUCUGGUCUCAUAUAAAGGAUCGAGGACUCAAUGAAAAAUUGAUCCAAAUCAGAAGAAUCAGGAAUUGGAUCCAUCAUAAGCCCCUGCCUCUCUUCAGAAUACCAUCCAACAACUGAGCUCAUUUGUGGACGAAAUAAAUCUCUCCUGAGUUGAGUUGAGGAGUAAAAUCAAUCCGUGAAUGGGCCACAUCAAAGGCCCAACAAUUGGGCCCGAAGUAUGUCUAUUUUUCCGAGGGCAGUGGGCACAGCCUUGUCAAUAAUCCCACAUCGGUAAAGAAGAAACUUAGAGAGUCGAGGUGCUUGGUAUAGAAAGAUGAAAAGACGUUGAGAUAAAUCAUGAUCCUUCAGGCAAGUUUUACGGGGAUAUGAUGAGUGGUCAUUUUCUUGCAUAUCUGUGCGGGAUGGGCGUCCGCCCUGCCUGGUUACGACAACUGGGCGCUCCCAUCAUAACCGAUCUGAUCCCUAUCUUGAA